UCUGCAAUGUCGAAUCAAACAUACCUGUACUGAUGCUUUCAUUGGUGAUUGCCAAUUCCAUAUUGAAAUCUCCUACGCAAAUACAUAAGGGAUAUGAACCUAAGUUUUUAUUCUCCUUUUUCGUUUCAAUAUAUACACGAACCCUCAUAUCAUUCCUAAUCUCCAAUGGAAGACAAUUCUCGUUCACAAUGUAUUUUAUUUCUAUAAUUUUAUCCGAUGUAUCAAUCGAUAAUUGUUCUGCAAUUGUAGAAAUGAGAAUUCCAUAGCUUGUAUUAUCAUCUACAAAAAUGGAAUCAACUUCGAAAUCUCUAAA
rnacentral:lncRNA from 1 species